UACGUAGGGUGCGAGCGUUGUCCGGAAUUACUGGGCGUAAAGAGCUCGUAGGUGGUUUGUCGCGUUGUUCGUGAAAACUCACAACUCAAUUGUGGGCGUGCGGGCGAUACGGGCAGACUAGAGGUAUGCAGGGGAGAACGGAAUUCCUGGUGUAGCGGUGAAAUGCGUAGAUAUCUGGAGGAACACCGGUGGCGAAGGCGGGUCUGCUGGGCGAGUAACUGACGCUGAGGAGCGAAAGCGUGGGGAGCGAACAGGAUAGAAACCCC
rnacentral:rRNA from 1 species